rnacentral:rRNA from 1 species
UAGAGUUUGAUCCUGGCUCAGGACGAACGCUGGCGGCGUGCCUAAUACAUGCAAGUCGAGCGGACAGAUGGGAGCUUGCUCCCUGAUGUUAGCGGCGGACGGGUGAGUAACACGUGGGUAACCUGCCUGUAAGACUGGGAUAACUCCGGGAAACCGGGGCUAAUACCGGAUGGUUGUUUGAACCGCAUGGUUCAAACAUAAAAGGUGGCUUCGGCUACCACUUACAGAUGGACCCGCGGCGCAUUAGCUAGUUGGUGAGGUAACGGCUCACCAAGGCGACGAUGCGUAGCCGACCUGAGAGGGUGAUCGGCCACACUGGGACUGAGACACGGCCCAGACUUCUACGGGAGGCAGCAGUAGGGAAUCUUCCGCAAUGGACGAAAGUCUGACGGAGCAACGCCGCGUGAGUGAUGAAGGUUUUCGGAUCGUAAAGCUCUGUUGUUAGGGAAGAACAAGUACCGUUCGAAUAGGGCGGUACCUUGACGGUACCUAACCAGAAAGCCACGGCUAACUACGUGCCAGCAGCCGCGGUAAUACGUAGGUGGCAAGCGUUGUCCGGAAUUAUUGGGCGUAAAGGGCUCGCAGGCGGUUUCUUAAGUCUGAUGUGAAAGCCCCCGGCUCAACCGGGGAGGGUCAUUGGAAACUGGGGAACUUGAGUGCAGAAGAGGAGAGUGGAAUUCCACGUGUAGCGGUGAAAUGCGUAGAGAUGUGGAGGAACACCAGUGGCGAAGGCGACUCUCUGGUCUGUAACUGACGCUGAGGAGCGAAAGCGUGGGGAGCGAACAGGAUUAGAUACCCUGGUAGUCCACGCCGUAAACGAUGAGUGCUAAGUGUUAGGGGGUUUCCGCCCCUUAGUGCUGCAGCUAACGCAUUAAGCACUCCGCCUGGGGAGUACGGUCGCAAGACUGAAACUCAAAGGAAUUGACGGGGGCCCGCACAAGCGGUGGAGCAUGUGGUUUAAUUCGAAGCAACGCGAAGAACCUUACCAGGUCUUGACAUCCUCUGACAAUCCUAGAGAUAGGACGUCCCCUUCGGGGGCAGAGUGACAGGUGGUGCAUGGUUGUCGUCAGCUCGUGUCGUGAGAUGUUGGGUUAAGUCCCGCAACGAGCGCAACCCUUGAUCUUAGUUGCCAGCAUUCAGUUGGGCACUCUAAGGUGACUGCCGGUGACAAACCGGAGGAAGGUGGGGAUGACGUCAAAUCAUCAUGCCCCUUAUGACCUGGGCUACACACGUGCUACAAUGGACAGAACAAAGGGCAGCGAAACCGCGAGGUUAAGCCAAUCCCACAAAUCUGUUCUCAGUUCGGAUCGCAGUCUGCAACUCGACUGCGUGAAGCUGGAAUCGCUAGUAAUCGCGGAUCAGCAUGCCGCGGUGAAUACGUUCCCGGGCCUUGUACACACCGCCCGUCACACCACGAGAGUUUGUAACACCCGAAGUCGGUGAGGUAACCUUUUAGGAGCCAGCCGCCGAAGGUGGGACAGAUGAUUGGGGUGAAGUCGUAACAAGGUAGCCGUA